rnacentral:rRNA from 1 species
GCUUAACACAUGCAAGUCGAGGGGCAGCGGGGAGGAAGCUUGCUUUCUCCGCCGGCGACCGGCGCACGGGUGAGUAACACGUAUGCAACCUGCCCCUGUCAGGGGGACAACCCGCCGAAAGGCGGGCUAAACCCGCGUACAUGCCACCGGGGCAUCCCGGAGGCAGGAAAGGCUUCGGCCGGACAGGGAUGGGCAUGCGGCGCAUUAGGCAGUAGGCGGGGUAACGGCCCACCUAACCGACGAUGCGUAGGGGUUCUGAGAGGAAGGUCCCCCACACUGGUACUGAGACACGGACCAGACUCCUACGGGAGGCAGCAGUGAGGAAUAUUGGUCAAUGGUCGGGAGACUGAACCAGCCAAGCCGCGUGAGGGAUGAAGGUACAGAGUAUCGUAAACCUCUUUUGUCAGGGAACAAAGGCGGGGACGUGUCCCCGGAUGAGUGUACCUGAAGAGAAAGCAUCGGCUAACUCCGUGCCAGCAGCCGCGGUAAUACGGAGGAUGCGAGCGUUAUCCGGAUUUAUUGGGUUUAAAGGGUGCGCAGGCGGUCUGUUAAGUCAGCGGUCAAAGCCCGGGGCUCAACCCCGGCCCGCCGUUGAAACUGGCAGUCUCGAGUUGGAGAGAAGUAUGCGGAAUGCGCGGUGUAGCGGUGAAAUGCAUAGAUAUCGCGCAGAACUCCGAUUGCGAAGGCAGCAUGCCGGCUCCACACUGACGCUGAGGCACGAAAGCGUGGGUAUCGAACAGGAUUAGAUACCCUGGUAGUCCACGCAGUAAACGAUGAAUGCUGGCUGUCCGGGGGGGAUUGACCCCUGGGUGGCGAAGCGAAAGCGAUAAGCAUUCCACCUGGGGAGUGCGCCGGCAACGGUGAAACUCAAAGGAAUUGACGGGGGCCCGCACAAGCGGAGGAACAUGUGGUUUAAUUCGAUGAUACGCGAGGAACCUUACCCGGGCUCAGACGGGGAGUGACUCAGGCAGAGACGCCUGUUUCCCACGGGACACUCCCCGAGGUGCUGCAUGGUUGUCGUCAGCUCGUGCCGUGAGGUGUCGGCUUAAGUGCCAUAACGAGCGCAACCCCCGCGUGCAGUUGCUAACAGAUAACGCUGAGGACUCUGCACGGACUGCCGGCGCAAGCCGCGGGGAAGGCGGGGAUGACGUCAAAUCAGCACGGCCCUCACGUCCGGGGCGACACACGUGUUACAAUGGGUGGUACAGCGGGAAGCCAGGCGGCGACGCCGAGCGGAACCCGAAAUCCACUCUCAGUUCGGAUCGGAGUCUGCAACCCGACUCCGUGAAGCUGGAUUCGCUAGUAAUCGCGCAUCAGCCAUGGCGCGGUGAAUACGUUCCCGGGCCUUGUACACACCGCCCGUCAAGCCAUGGGAGCCGAGGGCGCUUGAAGU